rnacentral:rRNA from 1 species
AACUCCGGGAAACCGGGGCUAAUACCGGAUAUGAAAUCUGCGGGCAUCCGCGGAUUUGGAAAGUUUUUCGGUUGAAGAUGAUCUCGCGGCCUAUCAGCUUGUUGGUGAGGUAAUGGCUCACCAAGGCGACGACGGGUAGCCGGCCUGAGAGGGCGACCGGCCACACUGGGACUGAGACACGGCCCAGACUCCUACGGGAGGCAGCAGUGGGGAAUAUUGGGCAAUGGAGGAAACUCUGACCCAGCGACGCCGCGUGCGGGAUGAAGGCCUUCGGGUUGUAAACCGCUUUCAGCAGGGAAGAAGCGAAAGUGACGGUACCUGCAGAAGAAGCACCGGCUAACUAUGUGCCAGCAGCCGCGGUAAUACAUAGGGUGCAAGCGUUGUCCGGAAUUAUUGGGCGUAAAGAGCUCGUAGGUGGUUCGUCACGUCGGAUGUGAAACUCUGGGGCUUAACCCCAGACCUGCAUUCGAUACGGGCGAGCUUGAGUAUGGUAGGGGAGUCUGGAAUUCCUGGUGUAGCGGUGGAAUGCGCAGAUAUCAGGAGGAACACCAAUGGCGAAGGCAGGACUCUGGGCCAUUACUGACACUGAGGAGCGAAAGCGUGGGGAGCGAACAGGAUUAGAUACCCUGGUAGUCCACGCCGUAAACGGUGGGCACUAGUUGUGGGGACCUUCCACGGUCUCUGCGACGCAGCUAACGCAUUAAGUGCCCCCGCCUGGGGAGUACGAUCGCAAGAUUAAAACUCAAAGGAAUUGACGGGGCCCCGCACAAGCAGCGGAGCAUGCGGCUUAAUUCGACGCAACGCGAAAAACCUUACCAAGGCUUGACAUAUACAGGAAU